rnacentral:rRNA from 1 species
AUCCUGGCUCAGGAUGAACGCUAGCUACAGGCUUAACACAUGCAAGUCGAGGGGCAGCAUUGGGAUAGCUGCUAUUCAGAUGGCGACCGGCGCACGGGUGAGUAACGCGUAUCCAACCUUCCUGCCAGUAGGGAACAGCCCGGCGAAAGUCGGAUUAAUGCCCUAUGUUCUUCAAUGCGGACAUCUAAGUUGAAGGAAAGAUUCAUCGCUGGCAGAUGGGGAUGCGUCCGAUUAGCUUGCCGGCGGGUAACGGCCCACCGGGGCGACGAUCGGUAGGGGUUCUGAGAGGAAGGUCCCCCACACUGGUACUGAGACACGGACCAGACUCCUACGGGAGGCAGCAGUGAGGAAUAUUGGUCAAUGGGCGUAAGCCUGAACCAGCCAAGUAGCGUGCAGGAAUGACGGCCCUACGGGUUGUAAACUGCUUUUAUGCGGGGAUAAAGUGCGGCACGUGUGCCGCUUUGCAGGUACCGCAUGAAUAAGGACCGGCUAAUUCCGUGCCAGCAGCAGC